UACGAAGGGUGCAAGCGUUACUCGGAAUUACUGGGCGUAAAGGGUGCGUAGGUGGUUCUUUAAGUCUGCUGUGAAAGCCCCGGGCUCAACCUGGGAAUGGCAGUGGAUACUGGAGAGCUAGAGUGCGGUAGAGGGUAGUGGAAUUCCCGGUGUAGCAGUGAAAUGCGUAGAGAUCGGGAGGAACACCAGUGGCGAAAGCGGCCUUCUGGACCAUUUCUGACGCUCAGACGCGAAAGCUAGGGUAGCAAACGGG
rnacentral:rRNA from 1 species